GUUCUUGAUUUGUUCAUAUUGAGCUGUCAAUCGAAGCUGAUACGUCGGGUUUCAAUUCUUCCAUUUGUUACAUUUGAGAACACGGUGGUAGCCUCUUUUGAUCUAUAUCGAGUUUGUGAUCAAUAUUGGAGUUGCUGCUUCUUUAGUACAAAGUUGAACCAUACUAUUCCUGGAUCAUAUGACUCCUUUCAUGAUUGGAAUGUCCCUAAAUCCGUCUUAUCCAUGGUUAAAGGAGAGAGCGGGUCGUCAAUGGCACAAAAUUGGUUUAGUGCCACACAGGUCGUUGUUCCAUGUUGGAUUAAAGGACAUUACGUGGUUGUUAGAAUAUACCUCGGACGUUGGGAGGCCGAGCUACACGAUCCACUAUAUUAUGGUUUGGAUGAAGCCGCGAAAGCAAAGCGUGGAGCCGAGAUCCAACCAUUGUUGAGUUUAUUCGGGAAGAUUUUGGAAGAUGCCGGCUAUUGGACGUCGAAUGUGUGUGGAUGGGAAAGGAAGACGCAUCCAUUGACACUCUAUAUCCCUGCACCGGACGAGCAAUUUAGUUAGAAGGAUUAUAGUUCAUGUGGUCCUUUUGCUUGCAUGGUGAUGGAGCGCAUAAUCUCCAGUGCUCCUAGUAUUACUUGG